UAGGGAAUAUUGGACAAUGGGCGCAAGCCUGAUCCAGCCAUGCCGCGUGAGUGAUGAAGGCCUUAGGGUUGUAAAGCUCUUUCGCCAGGGACGAUAAUGACGGUACCUGGAUAAGAAGCCCCGGCUAACUUCGUGCCAGCAGCCGCGGUAAUACGAAGGGGGCUAGCGUUGUUCGGAAUCACUGGGCGUAAAGCGUAUGCAGGCGGAUCGUUAAGUCGGGGGUGAAAUCCCGAGGCUCAACCUCGGAACUGCCUUCGAUACUGGCGAUCUUCGAGUCCGGGAGAGGUGAGUGGAACUGCGAGUGUAGAGGUGAAAUUCGUAGAUAUUCGCAAGAACACCAGUGGCGAAGGCGGCUCACUGGCCCGGUACUGACGCUGAGAUACGAAAGCGUGGGGAGCAAACAGG
rnacentral:rRNA from 1 species